rnacentral:rRNA from 1 species
GACAGAGGCCCCAAGCGUUAGGCGGAAUCACUGGGCUUAAAAGCGUGUGUAGGCGGACGCCUAAGUGUCUUGUGAAAUCCCACGGCUCACCCGUGGAACUGCUGGGCAUACUGGGCGUCUUGGGCCAACUAGGGGCAGCCGGGAACAAGCGGUGGAGCGGUGAAAUGCGUAGAUAUCCGGAGGAACACCGGUGGCGAAGGCGGCUUCCUGGACCGACACUGACGCUGGAGGCGCGAAAAGCUAGGGGGAGCAAACGGGG